AGUUAUGACACAACACAAUGCCCUCACCAGAAGCAACCAGAGGCAGACCCUCGACCUUGGACUUCCCAGCAUCCAGAACUCAUAAGAUUUACCUUUAUUUUUUAAUAUUGGAGAACUUGCCAUGUAAAUCCUAACAUGUGGAUGAACUAAAUACCUGGGGAGUUCAUCAUCUCUCACAAACUAAAUCCAGAGAAAAAACUUCCUGACACAAGAAAAAACUGCAGUUAAAUGGAAAACAAAUAAAGCAAAUGAAAAUUGGAAUGUGGAGCAUUUUGCAUGCCAGAUAAGAAAGGGCAUGUGACAAAGGAGAGCCAUUUCUUCCAUUUGAGAUUGGAGGGGGAAGAGUCCAAGGCUAGAAUCAUGUGGCUGACCAGGCUCCUGGGACUUCCACAUCUGCACAAUGGAUCAUGCAAAGGUCCGCAGCUUCACUCCUGAGCCAGCAAGACCACGAACCUACCAGAAGGAAGAAACUCCGAACACAUCCCAACAUCAGAAGGAACAAACUCCGGACGCGCCACCUUAAGAGCUGUAACACUCACCGCGAGGGUCCGCGGCUUCAUUCUUGAAGUCAGUGAGACCAAAAACCCACCAAUUCCAGACACACUAUCCUGGGGGAGCAGCCUGGCCCUAAAAGAGACUUGUGCGUGACCCCAGGAGACCCACUGACAUGGAUCAGGAAACUGCUUUAGAAUCCCAGGAACAGGGCUACGACCAAACUCCGUACUCUCCCAUUUGCCUAUCGUAGAAGCACUUCAGUGGGACCAGAGAGAACACUGUGCAUCCCAGGAUUGCAGCCACUGGACUCCAGCAACUCGAGGAAGAGGCAGCCAUUGAUACCAGACCUAGAAUUCACUAAAGGUCAAUGCCUUCAGGAAUUUUCAUCUGAUUUGAUGAUUGAUGCCCUCCCCAUCAUGAGCCCCAGGAAGUCUCCCAUGCCACGUUCCAGCUGAGGCACCCAACAGCAAUGAUGUUUUGUGAAAAUAGUGUGUGAUUUGGAUGCAAAUGAUCCUGGGUUCAAGACUUGCUUCUGUAAAGAAGAGAAUACCACACUCUCCUCUCCCAGUCAUGUGGGGAGUUAAUCGAAACCCACGGAAAGUGCAUUGCAUAAGGUGGGUGUCUGAUAAAUGCCCACACCUUUGGCUUCUCCUCUACUGAUAACUCUUUUUCCCUCAUCUUCCUGAUGUAAAAGGUGAGUGGGAGCCUUUAUGCCUUUCCCUGAAAGUAGAAGCCAGCCUCACCCCAGCCUGUGAGGCUGCUGAACCAGCCUCUUGCCCUUUCCUGCGUUUCUCAGGGCUUCCACCCUCCCCUCAGGCCCUUUCACCUCUCCAUGUCAUCUCUUUAUUCAGUUCUCCACCAAGCCUUCCCCGCUACCUUCAGGAAGCUUUGCAAACUGGCACGAAACCCUAAAUUCACAGUAUAGAGUCUGGAAUGCACUCCCCACUGCUUGGUGAUCCGUCAUACCAUACUGUUUUCUGCUUAUCUUUCUCUAAGACAACCUGUACCCUCAAUCUGGUGCCACUUAACAUGGCAAUAAGAGUGUAGUAAGUAGGGCCACUUCACAUGGUCUCAUUUAUGUAGAUGCUUGUUCUUUCAAGCUUGUCACCCCCAAUUCAGUAUCUACUAUAGAUACAUUGACAGGGCUUGGAAAUUGACCAGAGUAUGGUCUUCCGUGCCUUCAAAUUGCUGUGUGGGGCUUCUGAGAAGACAAACUUUGGAAAUUGCCCCUCUUUUGCAGAGGAUUCAGCGGAACUCAGGAAUAUGCCAGUACCCACCUACCCUGUGAUAGCCAGCCUCUAAAAUAGUCUCCAGCGAUUUCUGGCUUCCAAUACUCACACUCUAAUAUGGUCCCCUCCCACACUGUAUCAGGGUUGGUGUGUAACCAGUAGAGUGCAGGAGGAGUGGUAGAUACCACUCUGGAAGAGAGAUUAUGGAUGUCAUUUGGUCCUGUCUUGCUUUCCCUUGGAUCACUUGCUCUGGUGGAAGCCAGUGGCCAGUCUCAUGGACAGUUGGGCAGCCCAGUGGACGACCUAACAGUUCGACUGCCACUUCAUGGAAGACCCUGAGCCAGAACAAGUUAGUUAAGCUGCUCCCAGAUUCCUGACCCUCAGAAACAGUGUGAAAGACAAAUACCAGACUGACACAUUUUUGGCAAGUUUUUGUGCAGCUAUAGAUAACUAACACAAACUUUCUAUUCCAAAUUGCCACUAUUUACCUCCCCCUGCAGAAAUGUCCACCACUUACAAAGGUAUAGCUGAAGCCCAUCUAAGGUGAGCCAACUUUACUUAUAAUUGAAAACAAAUUAUAUGUACUUUAAAAGUAUUUGAGCACCAUUUUAUUGCCAAACAAUACACCCAACAAAGUCAAACAACCUAACUUCCCUUAACAAGAAUAUCAGGUUUGUCUAUAUUAUGAUUGGAAACAAACAUAAAUUAUAUUUGUUUUCCUAGACAGUCUAAGGUUUCAAUGGGUUGCUGUAAAAGAAUUUGAAGAAAGCUGCACCAACUGGUGUUUUGAAAUUCAAAUACCCUUAGUUUAAGCCACAAUAAAUGAAAUAAAACCAGUACAUGAAAUAAAACCA
rnacentral:lncRNA from 1 species